rnacentral:rRNA from 1 species
GUGGGGAAUAUUGGACAAUGGGCGGAAGCCUGAUCCAGCAAUGCCGCGUGUGUGAAGAAGGCCUUAGGGUUGUAAAGCACUUUCAGUUGGGAGGAAGGGGCUAUGGUUAAUACCCAUAGUCAUUGACGCUACCGACAGAAGAAGCACCGGCUAACUCUGUGCCAGCAGCCGCGGUAAUACAGAGGGUGCGAGCGUUAAUCGGAAUUACUGGGCGUAAAGGGUGCGUAGGCGGUUAAAUAAGUUAGAUGUGAAAUCCCUAGGCUUAACCUGGGAACUGCGUUUGAUACUGUAUAACUAGAGUACUGAAGAGGUUAGUGGAAUUUCCAGUGUAGCGGUGAAAUGCGUAGAUAUUGGAAGGAACACCAGUGGCGAAGGCGACUAACUGGUCAGAUACUGACGCUGAGGCACGAAAGCGUGGGGAGCAAACAGGAUUAGAUACCCUGGUAGUCC